AUGAAGACUAAGCAGCCGAGAUUCAGUACAAUGUGUUCUGGAAGAGCUGGUGCCUCUAGCCUGUGAGUUCUCAGGAGUGAGAGAUAGAAACACUGGAGGCUCCCCUUCAUUGCCCCAGAACCCACUCCUCUCCAUCAGAGAGCACCCAUUCAUCCACAAUUCCUGAGGAUUUCAACUAACUGGCCUGCCCCUCAUCCUCUCCUGGAAAGAUGCUGAUCCUACAAAACAAAGAAUGGGAAAACUCUGGACCAGAAGAAUGAACACCAAGUCUAAGCAUCUCCUUGAGCCAGCUGGGACCCAGGACAAGUCCCUUAACUGGUCUGACCUCUGUCUGUUGGAUCCUCAUUUGUCAAGUUGGGAUAAUAACCAGUAAGCAUAGUUUAUAGUUCAACCCUUUUAUACUUAAGGGGUCGGAGCUCUGGGCUCAGAGACCUUGAGUUUAAAUUACAGCUCAGCUGCUUACUAGGUGGGUAACUGGGGAUAAGUUCCUUGACUUCUCUAUGCUUCUGUUUCCUCAUCUGCAAAAUGGGGAUAACAACACUGUUGUGUCAAUGAACUGAGACAAUGUACAUGGGAACUAAAUUUAAUAAAGUACAUAAAUUUUUUAUCGUGAAGCAAAGUAAAAACACAAUAAAUGUUAACCAUUUGCAUUGCCAUCAUCACCAUCCUCUGGUGAAACAGUAAAUGGCAAAACAGUAUUCCUGUCUCCCUGAAAGGAAUCAAGUGCUACACUUAUUAUUA